GUCUCUCUCCCCUCCCCCAUCCUUCUUUCUCUCCUAUCUACUGAUAGGGGGUGAAACCAGGAGGGGAUUAAAGGGUGGAAAAAUGAAGAACCAACAAAAUAGCAAAGACAAGUUACAAUAAAUGGCUCUAAAUCAAUGGCCAGGCUGGAAUGUGAGCUGAUGGGAAAUGUUUUCUUUCCCCUUUUUAGGAAUGGAGUCUGUUCUCUUUCUUUACGAAAAGUUCGGGGAAGGGCCACAGGAGACACGUCUGGAAAACGCAACAAAUUCACACUAAAGAGACCCGAGUUUUGUGCUAUGUUUCUAAUUAUCUGUGCCCAUAUCUACCAUAUCUGACUGACCUCAAAUACUGGAUUUCUCAGGGGACUGCAUUGGUGAAUGUCGAGGAUGGGGAAGAUGAGUUUGAUUAUGACUCAAGUGGCAGAAGUGACUUUCCUGAUUGCCUGCAGAUUGAUGACAUGAAGGUCAAGGUGGAGGUGAGAUCAACGACAACCAAGAUGGCAACCGAGAAGAGAAAUUUAGUCAGACUUUGGCAACUUUGUGAGUUCUUCUUUCAUCCAUCCUUCUCCACCCUUUUACUUCUACCCUUUCAACCCCCAAACGCCUGAUAGAAGAGGAAAACUAAUGGAGGGAACGGGGUUAUGUUAUUUUUAGACUACUUCCUACUGAUUAGG
rnacentral:lncRNA from 14 species